GUGGGGAAUCUUAGACAAUGGGCGCAAGCCUGAUCUAGCCAUGCCGCGUGAGCGAUGAAGGCCUUAGGGUUGUAAAGCUCUUUCAGUGGGGAAGAUAAUGACUGUACCCACAGAAGAAGCCCCGGCUAACUCCGUGCCAGCAGCCGCGGUAAUACGGAGGGGGCUAGCGUGGUUCGGAAUUACUGGGCGUAAAGCGCACGUAGGCGGACUGGAAAGUCAGGGGUGAAAUCCCGGGGCUCAACCCCGGAACUGCCUUUGAAACUCCCAGUCUUGAGGUCGAGAGAGGUGAGUGGAAGUCCGAGUGUAGAGGUGAAAUUCGUAGAUAUUCGGGGGAACACCAGUGGCGAAGGCGGCUCACUGGCUCGAUACUGACGCUGAGGUGCGAAAGCGUGGGGAGCAAACAGGAUUAGAAACCCUUGUAGUCC
rnacentral:rRNA from 1 species